rnacentral:lncRNA from 1 species
AAUGGACCUCACUUUUAGACUCAGUCAUUCCACCCUUAGCAUCCAUUAAAUGAAAAAUCCAUGUCUGGUAAAUGACUGCUGCAUGGGUCAGUGUUCCGUGGAAUGCUGCUAAAGAGACCAUUUUCCCAAAAAGUCAGUUCUUGAUUUUGUUCACUAGCUGUGAGCUGAGGAAAACCUUCAGGAGGGGUCUUCAUUUUCUACAAUCUUGAUAUUGGAAUAAUAUAUAACUAUCAGUAUACAUGUGAACAUGAAGUACUUCGUGCUUCAUCAGAAACAUCAGUGAUAGAAGCUCAGUAAAAAUCUGCUAAAAUAGAGAAGGAAUGUUAUGGAUACAAUAUUUCGAAGACUUGUGCAAUUGUCGUCACUUUGAUCUGUGUCAUGUGCUUGCUUCAAAGUUAUAUCUCAAGGAGAGAGAACAAAAUCUGAAGUAUGAAAGGAAAGGGAAGUAGUUCAUUAAAGAGUCACUGUUCUUCUGACUGCUUGGUUGCUGUGUUGCAAUAAACACAAGAUGAGAAACA